rnacentral:rRNA from 1 species
GAUGAACGCUGGCGGCGUGCCUAAUACAUGCAAGUCGAGCGAACGGACGAGAAGCUUGCUUUUCUGAUGUUAGCGGCGGACGGGUGAGUAACACGUGGAUAACCUACCUAUAAGACUGGGAUAACUUCGGGAAACCGGAGCUAAUACCGGAUAAUAUUUUGAACCGCAUGGUUCAAAAGUGAAAGACGGUCUUGCUGUCACUUAUAGAUGGAUCCGCGCUGCAUUAGCUAGUUGGUAAGGUAACGGCUUACCAAGGCAACGAUGCAUAGCCGACCUGAGGGGGUGAUCGGCCACACUGGAACUGAGACACGGUCCAGACUCCUACGGGAGGCAGCAGUAGGGAAUCUUCCGCAAUGGGCGAAAGCCUGACGGAGCAACGCCGCGUGAGUGAUGAAGGUCUUCGGAUCGUAAAACUCUGUUAUUAGGGAAGAACAUAUGUGUAAGUAACUGUGCACAUCUUGACGGUACCUAAUCAGAAAGCCACGGCUAACUACGUGCCAGCAGCCGCGGUAAUACGUAGGUGGCAAGCGUUAUCCGGAAUUAUUGGGCGUAAAGCGCGCGUAGGCGGUUUUUUAAGUCUGAUGUGAAAGCCCACGGCUCAACCGUGGAGGGUCAUUGGAAACUGGAAAACUUGAGUGCAGAAGAGGAAAGUGGAAUUCCAUGUGUAGCGGUGAAAUGCGCAGAGAUGUGGAGGAACACCAGUGGCGAAGGCGACUUUCUGGUCUGUAACUGACGCUGAUGUGCGAAAGCGUGGGGAUCAAACAGGAUUAGAUACCCUGGUAGUCCACGCCGUAAACGAUGAGUGCUAAGUGUUAGGGGGUUUCCGCCCCUUAGUGCUGCAGCUAACGCAUUAAGCACUCCGCCUGGGGAGUACGACCGCAAGGUUGAAACUCAAAGGAAUUGACGGGGGCCCGCACAAGCGGUGGAGCAUGUGGUUUAAUUCGAAGCAACGCGAAGAACCUUACCAAAUCUUGACAUCCUUUGACAACUCUAGAGAUAGAGCCUUCCCCUUCGGGGGACAAAGUGACAGGUGGUGCAUGGUUGUCGUCAGCUCGUGUCGUGAGAUGUUGGGUUAAGUCCCGCAACGAGCGCAACCCUUAAGCUUAGUUGCCAUCAUUAAGUUGGGCACUCUAAGUUGACUGCCGGUGACAAACCGGAGGAAGGUGGGGAUGACGUCAAAUCAUCAUGCCCCUUAUGAUUUGGGCUACACACGUGCUACAAUGGACAAUACAAAGGGCAGCGAAACCGCGAGGUCAAGCAAAUCCCAUAAAGUUGUUCUCAGUUCGGAUUGUAGUCUGCAACUCGACUACAUGAAGCUGGAAUCGCUAGUAAUCGUAGAUCAGCAUGCUACGGUGAAUACGUUCCCGGGUCU